GAUCCAGACUCCUACGGGAGGCAGCAGUGGGGGAUAUUGCACAAUGGGGGAAACCCUGAUGCAGCGACGCCGCGUGGGUGAAGAAGCGCCUCGGCGCGUAAAGCCCUGUCAGCAGGGAAGAAGCAAGACGGUACCUGACUAAGAAGCCCCGGCUAACUACGUGCCAGCAGCCGCGGUAAUGCGUAGGGGGCGAGCGUUAUCCGGAUUUACUGGGUGUAAAGGGGGCGCAGACGGCGAUGCAAGCCAGGAGUGAAAGCCCGGGGCCCAACCCCGGGACUGCUCUUGGAACUGCGUGGCUGGAGUGCAGGAGGGGCAGGCGGAAUUCCUGGUGUAGCGGUGAAAUGCGUAGAUAUUAGGAGGAACACCAGUGGCGAAGGCGGCCUGCUGGACGAUGACUGACGCUGAGGCUCGAAAGCGUGGGGAGCAAACAGGAUUAGAUACCCCUGUA
rnacentral:rRNA from 1 species